GAUGAACGCUAGCGGCAGGCCUAAUACAUGCAAGUCGAACGGUAAGGCCCUUUCGGGGUACACGAGUGGCGGACGGGUGCGUAACGCGUAUGCAACAUGCCUUCCAGCGGGGGAUAUACCAGGGAAACUUGGCGCAAUACCCCAUAGAAUUACGGGACCGCAUGGUCUUGUGAUUAAAAACUCCGGUGCUGGGAGAUUGGCAUGCGUGACAUUAGCUAGUUGGCGGGGUAACGGCCCACCAAGGCGACGAUGUCUAGCUGGUCUGAGAGGAUGAUCAGCCACACUGGGACUGAGACACGGCCCAGACUCCUACGGGAGGCAGCAGUAGGGAAUAUUGGGACAAUGGGGGGAACCCUGAUCCAGCCAU
rnacentral:rRNA from 1 species